AGAGUUUGAUCCUGGCUCAGAUUGAACGCUGGCGGCAGGCCUAACACAUGCAAGUCGAACGGUAACAGGAAGAAGCUUGCUUCUUUGCUGACGAGUGGCGGACGGGUGAGUAAUGUCUGGGAAACUGCCUGAUGGAGGGGGAUAACUACUGGAAACGGUAGCUAAUACCGCAUAACGUCGCAAGACCAAAGAGGGGGACCUUCGGGCCUCUUGCCAUCGGAUGUGCCCAGAUGGGAUUAGCUAGUAGGUGGGGUAAAGGCUCACCUAGGCGACGAUCCCUAGCUGGUCUGAGAGGAUGACCAGCCACACUGGAACUGAGACACGGUCCAGACUCCUACGGGAGGCAGCAGUGGGGAAUAUUGCACAAUGGGCGCAAGCCUGAUGCAGCCAUGCCGCGUGUAUGAAGAAGGCCUUCGGGUUGUAAAGUACUUUCAGCGGGGAGGAAGGGAGUAAAGUUAAUACCUUUGCUCAUUGACGUUACCCGCAGAAGAA
rnacentral:rRNA from 1 species